AACGCACAUUGCGCCUUCUGGUAUUCCGGGAGGCAUGCCUGUUCGAGCGUCAUCAAAACAUUUCAAGGAUGAAUUUAUUCUUUUCUUGGUUUUGGAAUUGGAGUUGCUUGCAUCUCCCUUUCGAAAUUCAAUGGCGAAGUAGGCUGUUACAAUUAGCGUAGUAAUCAACAUUAUGUUUCGCAAUUGUGUUCGACCGCUUCUGCCGCUAAUCCCCAUAUCUAUGAAUUUGACCUCGGAUCAGGUAGGGAUACCCGCUGAACUUAA
rnacentral:misc_RNA from 1 species